AUGAGUAUUCCCUGUGCUUAAAUGUGGAAUGUUUUCAUAACUGGAAAAUUGAGGAAAUUUUUAAGAAAACGGCACUGACCAGGGGAAGUGGGCAAGGAAUUACACAAGUUCAUCAGAAACAAUGAGAGUAACAUUUUUUCGUUACAUACAACAAAACUUAAAGACAGGUUAUACUUCGAGUGCAGUUUAUAAAAGUUCGAAGAGUAACCAACCAUAUUUGUUUGUUCCAUCAUUACUAUCGAGGAAUCGUGUACGAGAAUUUGUUUACUUCACCUUCCAUGUACUACAGUAUUCUACUUUGCGGAAUGUGGAAAGCCAUGAAAAGAGAACAGAAAGAGGAAUAUUUUGCCCGGACACGCCGGGCAGAUACAGAGCAUAAAAAAGUAUCCCUGAGUUUACACGGCGACUAAUUCGAUACCAACGUUUCGGAGAAAGAUCCUUUCUCAAUCUUCAGGGCUGAAGUGCCUAUGCGGUGAAAUGGAGACAUUUAUAUUAGAGGACAGAAAAAUUGGAGACACUUUCUCCAAAACCUUUUCAUCUACUUACGAGUCACGGCACCAGAACCCAGAUAUCGAGAUGUUAUAAUAUUAAAAUGGGAGUAACUUAAACAUUUAAUUUUGCAAUUAGAUAUGUUCAAAAGGCAUUUUAUUGUUCCUGUCAUUCUGUAAUAAAUGAUUUAUGAUUUUCCUUCUCUGAUGAGUGCAUGUUCUGAACACGGGAAAUUUCUCAUAUAUAAUUUUACAGCUUUGCACCAUUUCCAUUUUUAUAAUCGUUAACAUGCAUACAAUGAUCAUACAUGUCCGCUGAAUUCGAAUAGCUUUGAAGACAAUUUGUCGAUCACUAAUACUCUGCACAUUAGAUUAUUAACAAGUGAUUGUUCUGAAGUACAUUUUGCAUUGC